rnacentral:rRNA from 1 species
UAGGGAAUCUUCGGCAAUGGACGAAAGUCUGACCGAGCAACGCCGCGUGAGUGAAGAAGGUUUUCGGAUCGUAAAACUCUGUUGUUAGAGAAGAACAAGGACGUUAGUAACUGAACGUCCCCUGACGGUAUCUAACCAGAAAGCCACGGCUAACUACGUGCCAGCAGCCGCGGUAAUACGUAGGUGGCAAGCGUUGUCCGGAUUUAUUGGGCGUAAAGCGAGCGCAGGCGGUUUCUUAAGUCUGAUGUGAAAGCCCCCGGCUCAACCGGGGAGGGUCAUUGGAAACUGGGAGACGUGAGGGCAGAAGAGGGGAGUGGAAUUCCAUGUGUAGCGGUGAAAUGCGUAGAUAUAUGGAGGAACACCAGUGGCGAAGGCGGCUCUCUGGUCUGUAACUGACGCUGAGGCUCGAAAGCGUGGGGAGAAAACAGG